rnacentral:rRNA from 1 species
CCGAAAUGCGACCACUUCAGGCAUCUGACGGUGGUGGAAAGUUCCGGCGGUGAAGGAUGAGCUCGCGGCCUAUCAGCUUGUUGGUGAGGUAAUGGCUCACCAAGGCUUCGACGGGUAGCCGGCCUGAGAGGGUGACCGGCCACACUGGGACUGAGACACGGCCCAGACUCCUACGGGAGGCAGCAGUGGGGAAUAUUGGACAAUGGGCGAAAGCCUGAUCCAGCAACGCCGCGUGAGGGAUGACGGCCUUCGGGGUUGUAAACCUCUUUCAGCAGGGACGAAGCGAAAGUGACGGUACCUGCAAAAGAAGCACCGGCCAACUACGUGCCAGCAGCCGCGGUAAUACGUAGGGUGCGAGCGUUGUCCGGAAUUAUUGGGCGUAAAGGGCUCGUAGGCGGUUUGUCACGUCGGGAGUGAAAACUCGGGGCUCAACCCCGAGCUUGCUUCCGAUACGGGCUAACUAGAGGUAUGCAGGGGAGAACGGAAUUCCUGGUGUAGCGGUGAAAUGCGCAGAUAUCAGGAGGAACACCGGUGGCGU